AUUGAACGCUGGCGGCAGGCUUAACACAUGCAAGUCGAACGGUAACAUAAAGGAGCUUGCUUCUUUGAUGACGAGUGGCGGACGGGUGAGUAAUGCUUGGGAAUCUAGCUUAUGGAGGGGGAUAACUACGGGAAACUGUAGCUAAUACCGCGUAGAAUCGGGAGAUGAAAGUGUGGGACCUUCGGGCCACAUGCCAUAGGAUGAGCCCAAGUGGGAUUAGGUAGUUGGUGAGGUAAAGGCUCACCAAGCCGACGAUCUCUAGCUGGUCUGAGAGGAUGACCAGCCACACUGGGACUGAGACACGGCCCAGACUCCUACGGGAGGCAGCAGUGGGGAAUAUUGCGCAAUGGGGGCAACCCUGACGCAGCCAUGCCGCGGGAAUGAAGAAGGCCUUCGGGUUGUAAAGUUCUUUCGGUAGCGAGGAAGGCAUUUAGUUUAAUAGACGAGGUGAUGGACGUGAACUACAGAAGAAGCACCGGCGAACUCCGU
rnacentral:rRNA from 1 species